UGUCAGGCAUCCAGAUAACCAAGACGGA
rnacentral:piRNA from 1 species